GUGGAUCUCAAUUCAAAACUCUGGAUAAGAAAAAUACUUAACUUUUUAAGUAUAUGUUUAUCUUCAGUGGUCAUUCACCAUAAAAAUUUUGAUUUGCAGUCUAAGUUAUUAAAAUUUUGACAGUGCUCAUAAGCUUGUGCAAACAAUAAUUCCCGACAUUUAUUAUACAAUGGACAGUUUAUUAAAAAAUGAAACUCAUCUUCAAUAUCAUUAUGAGAACAAAAAUUACAAGUCCUCUGUGACCUUUCUAUAGGUUUGUUCUUAUGUCGCUCUUUUUCUACUCGUAAUUGGUGGGCAAUUAUGCGAAAUUUACAUAAAAUUUGUCUUGAUUGAAAACUUUGAAUAUCAA
rnacentral:lncRNA from 1 species